AGUAAGGUCAGCUAAAUAAGCUUUUGGGCCCAUACCCCAAAU
rnacentral:tRNA from 1 species